rnacentral:lncRNA from 1 species
GUAAUUCGAGCGUGGGACUGUGCAAUUCUCGGAUUGGGAAAGGGAGGAGUGGAAAUAACCCCGGCAGUGCCAGGCUUGCUGGUGGUCAGGAACAGAUGAUUCCAGCCCUGUGCUGAUCGCCUGCCUUCCUCCUGCCGUUCAGAAUGCUGCUGUCUCGUGUACUUACUGUUAAGCAUCCUGGAAAAGGGAGUGGUUCCUCCUAGCUGCAAACAAGGGCGCUACUUUUCUUUUCUCUUUAAUAGAAUUACGUUUUAUAGGUGUGUCUAGGCAACACAAGGGAAUGUGAAAGACUUUCAGAGGGAAUGUUUGUGAAUACAUCUGGUGUGUACUAAAAAGCUGGAAAACCCCUAAGUAAAUGCAAUAUCGAUAGAAAGCGAGUUUCUUGAAGAGUCAUCUGCUAAACUCCACUACAGUCAUCUCUACAGGUGUGGUUAAGAGAAAAAAAAAUUGCCAUUAAGGAAUCAGCAAAUAGGAUGUCUGAAGUGAGGAUAUAGCACCUAUCUCUGAGAUUAAAGUCAUCUGAUCAAAAAUGAUGCCUCUGAGACUAUAACAAAGGAAUGAAUAAUGAAAUAUAAGAAUGGGGAUUCUGCACUAACUCUAUGGGGAAGAAAACAAUGUCUCUGUUCAUCAUGAGAAAUGCUCAGCGACUGCAGACAUAAAGAGAAAGCUUUCAAUUAAAGUUUCAAUGAUGGGAUAGGAACUGAGAAGUCUGUGGAGUUUUCUGCCUAGGAGUACCCUUGGAAAAGCCACUGCUAUGCCCAACCAGCACUGGGAAUCCCAGAUCACAUGCAAUCAUAGGAGUUGCCCUGGAGGCAGAAGCUCAGCACAUGUUCUGGUACA